rnacentral:rRNA from 1 species
AGAGUUUGAUCAUGGCUCAGGAUGAACGCUGGCGGUAUGCCUAACACAUGCAAGUCGAACGAUGUCUUCGGACAUAGUGGCGGACGGGUGAGUAACGCGUGAGAAUCUGCCUCUAGGAUGGGGAUAACGGUUGGAAACGACCGCUAACACCCAAUAUGCCGUAAGGUGAAAAAUUUAUUGCCUGGAGAGGAGCUCGCGUCUGAUUAGCUAGUUGGUGGGGUAAGAGCUCACCAAGGCUUCGAUCAGUAGCUGGUCUGAGAGGAUGAGCAGCCACACUGGGACUGAGACACGGCCCAGACUCCUACGGGAGGCAGCAGUGGGGAAUUUUCCGCAAUGGGCGAAAGCCUGACGGAGCAAUACCGCGUGAGGGAGGAAUGCCUUUGGGUUGUAAACCUCUUUUCUCAGGGAAGAGGAUCUGACGGUACCUGAGGAAUAAGUAUCGGCUAACUCCGUGCCAGCAGCCGCGGUAAUACGGAGGAUGCAAGCGUUAUCCGGAAUCAUUGGGCGUAAAGCGUCCGCAGGUGGUUUCCAAAGUCUGCUGUUAAAGACUGGAGCUCAACUCCGGAACGGCGGUGGAAACUUGGAAACUAGAGUUCGGUAGGGGUAGCAGGAAUUCCCAGUGUAGCGGUGAAAUGCGUAGAUAUUGGGAAGAACAUCGGUGGCGAAGGCGUGCUACUGGACCGUAACUGACACUCAGGGACGAAAGCUAGGGGAGCGAAAGGGAUUAGAUACCCCUGUAGUCCUAGCUGUAAACGAUGGAAACUAGGUGUGGCUUGUAUCGACCCGAGCCGUGCCGUAGCUAACGCGUUAAGUUUCCCGCCUGGGGAGU